UCCCUGGUGGUCCAGUGGUUAGGACCUGGUACUUUCACUGUCACGGUCCUGGGUUCAAGCCCUGGUCAGGGAA